rnacentral:rRNA from 1 species
CACGUAGGGCGCGAGCGUUGUCCGGAAUUAUUGGGCGUAAAGAGCUCGUGAGCGGCCUGUUGCGUCCGCUGUGAAAGCCCGGGGCUUAACUCCGGGUCUGCGGUGGAUACGGGCAGACUAGAGGCAGGUAGGGGAGAACGGAAUUCCCGGUGUAGCGGUGAAAUGCGCAGAUAUCGGGAGGAACACCAAUGGCGAAGGCAGCUCGCUGGGACGUUACUGACGCUGAGACGCGAAAAGCGUGGGGGAGCAAACAGG